GCUUUUGUUUUCAAGUUGACUCGUUGUUUCCCUAUCAAGUUAUAUUUUAUUGUUAAUGCAUGAUUGAUUUGAAAUUUUCAGUGUUUAAGUUACUUUGCAAUAGUUUCCAUAAAUACAUUCAAUAUUACAGAUGGUUUGUACAAGUUUGGAUAAACUGAUCGAGUUAUAUCUUUUGGAGAUUUUCAUCUUCUGACCAACAUCAAGUCUAUCGAGCUUUUGGUUUAAGAGUUUCAGCUAUUCUCAUGGUUUUUUGGAAUCAGGUUUGAACGAAGCAACUGUGGAUUUUUAUAUUAAACAAGCAACAUUUGGACUUAUUAAUCUCAGCUUCAGGAUAUGGUUUGGAUCAGCGUUUAAUAUUGUUGCAUUUGAAUGGCUAAAUAAUCCAAUUGUUUCUUGGCUCAUCAACACGAAAAUGAGAGUUGACUGGAUAUGAUCAAUUAUAAUUUGUGAUACACAUUGUACCAAAACCAAAAGCAAACCCAUAAUUGCUAUUAUUCUGAUUGUGUGGUUAUUUUUGACAUGCAUUUAGUAAUAAGUUUGGAUCCCUCGAGAUGAUACAAGAUAUUACUAACAAGACUGAAAAAGAUACAAAAAGAUGUUAACUAGGAACAAGUGAAAAUGAUGAUCAACAAUAACAAUAAACAGCAAAAUUUCAACAAGGAACUCGUUCAAUUGACAACUUAAUUGAACCUUUAGGUUGAAGGGUAACAACAGGAGCAGCAGAAUCAUCAUCAUCAUCACCAGCAACAGCAACAACAACAACAGCAACUCCAAGAGGAAACUACAAAACACCAAUAACAAUGAUAAUAAUAAUAAGAUGAAUGUAAAAAGAUUGACUCGAUGUUUUGACAG